GAUUUCAACUAAAAAAGUUAACAAUAACAAAGUUGAAUAACUUUUAUUUUGGUCAUUUCUUCAUCCGACAAAGUGAUAGUAACAUUGUUCACAAAAUUGAUAUAUAUCUUAUCUGGUUUUAUAAACUAUAACACAUAUAUGUAAAAUUUGUGAACAAUGUUACUAAUAUUUUGUCAGAUGAAGAAAUAACAAAAAAAAAGUUUUAGAUCUUGAUGGGUUAUACUAUUUUGUUGUUGAUGACUUUUUCAAUUGAAAUC
rnacentral:pre_miRNA from 1 species